GCCGGGCGUGGUGGUGCACACCUUUAAUCCCAGCACUUGGGAGGCAGAGGCAGGUGGAUUUCUGAGUAGAGGCCAGCCUGGUCUACAGAGCGAGUUUCAGGACAGCCAGGGCUACACAGAGAAACCCUGUUUUUUUUGUUUUGUUUUGUUUUUUUGUUUUUUUGAGACAGGGUUUCUCUGUAUAGCACUGACUGUCCUGGAACUCACUCUGUAGACCAGGCUGGCCUCUACUCAGAAAUCCACCUGCCUCUG
rnacentral:SRP_RNA from 1 species